rnacentral:rRNA from 1 species
UUACCAGACUCCUACGGGAGGCAGCAGUGAGGAAUAUUGGUCAAUGGGCGGGAGCCUGAACCAGCCAAGUCGCGUGAGGGAAGAAGGCCCUGCGGGUCGCAGACCUCUUUGGACGGGGAGCAAGGCCGCCGACGUGUCGGCGGAAGGAGAGUACCCGUAGAACAAGCAUCGGCUAACUCCGUGCCAGCAGCCGCGGUAAUACGGAGGAUGCGAGCGUUAUCCGGAUUUAUUGGGUGUAAAGGGUGCGUAGACGGGAAAUUAAGUUAGUUGUGAAAUCCCUCGGCUCAACUGAGGAACUGCAACUAAAACUGAUUUUCUUGAGUGCAGGAGAGGUAAGUGGAAUUCCUAGUGUAGCGGUGAAAUGCGUAGAUAUUAGGAGGAACACCAGUGGCGAAGGCGACUUACUGGACUGUAACUGACGUUGAGGCACGAAAGUGUGGGGAGCAAACAGGAUUAGAUACCCCCGUAAG